GAGAGAGAGAGAGAGAGAGCUUAAGCACAAAAGUGAAGACUAAUAAACAAAAAUAUAGUACCUAAUCAUAUUGCAGGACUGUGAAAUACAGUAUGAAACUUCACCUGAAAGUUGGGUGUUCGAUAAUCAGGUUAGUGAAUGAUGCACCAAACAGGCAAACAUAAACUUGUUUGUCAGUGCUAACUACAUUUGAUUUUCGAAGUUACAAUGAUUUGAUGAUGUGCGGAGUUAAUUGACCGACCAAAUUACAAAAAUUUACACCUUUUUCGGUUAGUGGGCAACAGAAUGUCUCCAUCACCCUUCAAGGAAAAAUUUUCUUCAAAGUGAUUCCCGCCUAAUGUGGGUCAAAGCUAUACUAAUGUGGGUCAUAGCUAUCUCCUUAUCCAUCAGAAAAAGUUUAGCUCUGUAUACCCAUGUGAGUAUGGCAAGAGCUCCUCUACUUCAAUUCUGGAACUGGAGUAACUCAUACUUUUCUUCAGUUGGCCAUGGCUGGACUCGACCUCUGCCCAAAAUAUGCCAUAAACCGGCCUAUGAUCUGAGAACCUAGAUUCCCCACGUACAUAAGAUAAUUGCUGGAGGCCUUCUCCAUACCAUAAAAUUCUAUCACACCAAGCUGGAGUUCGACGCUUCUCCUUUGGGUGCAUAUCAUCUCCUGCAUAUCUGUCUGAAUUAGUGGAAUAUUUGUAUGUCGGUGGGAAAUAAAUCUUCCCUUCAUGCCACCCUACAAAAACACGACCUCUUCUCUGCUCUAUCCGCAACUGGUCAUUCUCCAACAAU
rnacentral:misc_RNA from 1 species